rnacentral:rRNA from 1 species
ACCUACGGGACGCAGCAGUGGGGGAUAUUGCACAAUGGGGGGAACCCUGAUGCAGCGACGCCGCGGGGGUGAAGAAGCGCCUCGGCGCGUAAAGCCCUGUCAGCAGGGAAGAAAAUGACGGUACCUGAAGAAGAAGCCCCGGCUAACUACGUGCCAGCAGCCGCGGUAAUACGUAGGGGGCAAGCGUUAUCCGGAUUUACUGGGUGUAUAGGGCGCGUAGGCGGUAAUAUAAGUCAGAUGUGAAAGGUGGGGGCUCAACCCCUAGAGUGCAACUGAUACUGUAUAACUUGAGUGUGA